rnacentral:rRNA from 1 species
CAGUAGCCGCGGUAAUACAGGGGGUGCGAGCGUUAAUCGGAUUUACUGGGCGUAAAGCGUGCGUAGGCGGCUAAUUGAGUCGGAUGUGAAAUCCCCGAGCUUAACUUGGGAAUUGCAUUCGAUACUGGUUAGCUAGAGUGUGGGAGAGGAUGGUAGAAUUCCAGGUGUAGCGGUGAAAUGCGUAGAGAUCUGGAGGAAUACCGAUGGCGAAGGCAGCCAUCUGGCCUAACACUGACGCUGAGGUACGAAAGCAUGGGGAGCAAACAGGAUUAGAUACCCGCGUAGUCCCUGUCUCUUAUAC